AUGCCUUUCCCGCUAAUAAUACGACUUGAGAUGAUUCACGUUUCAAGGACGCCAGAGUUCUCCAACUGUGGAAAUGUUCAUUUAAUUUCAAACGCAAAAUCUGAUCAGGAUCUGGGCUCCGUGGCAACAGGCAGGAGACAAAGGUCCUGCUCCUACAACGACCCAGAGGACAGAAGGAGCUAUGGUUUAGUCCAGCAUGCAGGAGAAGCCACUCUGAGACCUCGCUCCAGGUCGUUUUACAAUUAUGAGACGUCAGAGCUCUCCUCUGACUCUGACACGGGAAGCUUUUUAAGGUCCAGUCCUCUCAGGCAGAAGUCAAACUCACAACUAAAAUCCUAUUCAUCUAAAAAGGAGGACAAAGAUGGGAAUCGAUUGGCUGGUAAAAUUACCGCCAAGGAGGGCAAACCCAGUAGACACUCACCAUCGAGAGAGCUCAGCGGUAAUCAAAGGAUGUACAGUACAGAUCAAAACUCAAGACACACGUUCUCAUUCAAUGUGUUUUCUUUAUUUUUAUGACCAUUUACAUUGUUAGAUUCUCACUGAAGGCAUCUAAACUAUGAAUGAAAACAUGCAGGGUCAUCUACUUAACCAAAAAAGGUGAAAUAACUGAAAGCAUGUUUUAUAUUCUAUUUUCUUUAAAUUAGCCACCCUUUGCACUGAUUACUGCUUUGCACACUCUUGGUAUUCUCUCGAGGAGCUUCAAGAGGUAGUCACCUGAAAUGGUUUUCCAACCGUGUUGAAGGACUACCUCUUCUAAAUUGAUGCUUGGACAUAAAAAAAAACCAUAUAAAACAUGUUUUCAGUUAUUUCACCUUUUUGGAUUAAGUACAUAACCCUGCAUGUGUUCAUAGUUUAGAUGCCUUCAGUGAGAAUCUACCAAUGUAAAUGGUCAUGAAAAUAAAGAAAACACAUUGAAUGAGAACGUGUGUCCAAAACUGUAAAAUGUUACAGUCUACUUUAUUAGCAAUGUCAAAAAUAACAAAACAUGCAAUAAGUGUGUGUGUGUGUGUGUGCGUGCGUGCGUGUGUGUGUGUGUGUGUGUGUGUGUGU
rnacentral:lncRNA from 1 species